ACAAUUACUCACUGAUAAUGUACCGUUGUUGAAUGAUCAAUAGUUGAGAGGGAAAAGUAGAAUGAGUUAUUAUUCAGCUGAAAAAUAGUUACACUCUAUUACCGUGUAAUGGUGUCAUAUUAAUAUACUUUUUAGUGAUAACUACUCCUAACCGACUAACAGCCUAGCUAAUUAUUUGACUAUCAUUUAUAUUCUUUAUC
rnacentral:lncRNA from 1 species